CUCCUGUGGCACCAGCUGGGAAUCCUAUCACCCCCACCAGGAGCCCGCGGAGGUGUCACUUAGGAAAUAAGAUCCCACUCCAGCAAGGACGUAGGUUUUGAAGAUCCCUUCGUCUCCAGCAUUGUGCUGCUUUGGGAACCACAUCAGUAGCUUGUGCUAGUGUUGGCUUUGGAGGGUGUCAGAGGUCCCAGCCUAUCUGGGGAGCUUAGCGAGUGUUGUGUGCUUUUGUGGUUGGCUUCCCUUGGUUCAGGAUGCAAAUGUGCCAUCCAGCAAAUUAUUCCUGGUGCAGCCGUUGGAUGGCAACAGACUAGAAAAUAUAACAAAAAAUAAUGGGUUCCCGUCGGUCCCUAAUCAAAAAUCCAAGAGGAGCCUUCUUAUCAAGAAUAUUUGGCUCAAUACUUGGAAACCCAUUUGUUGACUCUAGAAUGCUUUCUCAUACAACUGAAGUCAUAUUAUCCCUCCUCAUCACAGAUUCUAUAAAACCCUGCAAGUCUUUUUUCUUACAAUCUGUGAAUAAUUAUUUGGUGAUCUGAAUCUCAACACGUGUAGUCAAUUGAACAGUCAUCUGGGAAGUUGUGGGGCACUGGAUAAAGUCUGCAAUAUUCCAACAAGAAGAUUCUAUCCAAGCGCCUGAAAGAAUUUCAGCUGUAAGAGCUUUUUAAUUCCUCCAACUGACCCCUCGUUUUUUGUAUCAUGAAUGAUUCAUCUCUAUAUGGGAACAUCAAUAACUCUAACAAUGACAAGAAAAUCUGAAAAGGACCUCAAGAGUUCAGGGAAGUCCCUGGACUACAUUGUCAUUUCGACCGUGUCAUGGAUCUUACAGCAACUGCAUCAUUUCUGCUUCAAGC